rnacentral:tRNA from 1 species
GCGCCCAUAGCUCAGUGGUAGAGCGCGUCACUUAUAAUGACGAGGUCCUUGGAUCGUUCCCAAGUGGGCGCACAA